rnacentral:rRNA from 1 species
AGUGAACGCUGGCGGUAGGCCUAACACAUGCAAGUCGAACGGCAGCACAGUAAGAGCUUGCUCUUACGGGUGGCGAGUGGCGGACGGGUGAGGAAUACAUCGGAAUCUACUUUUUCGUGGGGGAUAACGUAGGGAAACUUACGCUAAUACCGCAUACGACCUACGGGUGAAAGCAGGGGAUCUUCGGACCUUGCGCGAUUGAAUGAGCCGAUGUCGGAUUAGCUAGUUGGCGGGGUAAAGGCCCACCAAGGCGACGAUCCGUAGCUGGUCUGAGAGGAUGAUCAGCCACACUGGAACUGAGACACGGUCCAGACUCCUACGGGAGGCAGCAGUGGGGAAUAUUGGACAAUGGGCGCAAGCCUGAUCCAGCCAUACCGCGUGGGUGAAGAAGGCCUUCGGGUUGUAAAGCCCUUUUGUUGGGAAAGAAAGGCAGCAGGUUAAUACCCCGCCGUUCUGACGGUACCCAAAGAAUAAGCACCGGCUAACUUCGUG